rnacentral:rRNA from 1 species
AUUGAACGCUGGCGGAAUGCUUUACACAUGCAAGUCGAACGGCAGCACGGACUUCGGCCUGGUGGCGAGUGGCGAACGGGUGAGUAAUGUAUCGGAACGUGCCCAGUCGUGGGGGAUAACGUAGUGAAAAUUACGCUAAUACCGCAUACGAUCUAUGGAUGAAGGCGGGGGAUCGCAAGACCUCGCGCGAUUGGAGCGGCCGAUAUCAGAUUAGGGAGUUGGUGGGGUAAAGGCCCACCAAGCCAACGAUCUGUAGCUGGUCUGAGAGGACGAACAGCCACACUGGAACUGAGACACGGUCCAGACUCCUACGGGAGGCAGCCGUGGGGAAUUUUGGACAAUGGGCGAAAGCCUGAUCCAGCCAUUCCGCGUGCAGGAUGAAGGCCCUCGGGUUGUAAACUGCUUUUGUACAGAACGAAAAGGUUUCUACUAAUACUAGGAGCUCAUGACGGUACUGUAAGAAUAAGCACCGGCUAACUACGUGCCAGCCGCCGCAGUAA